rnacentral:rRNA from 1 species
UGAGUAACGCGUGGGUAACCUGCCCUUAAGUCUGGGAUACCAUUUGGAAACAGAUGCUAAUACCGGAUAAAAGCUACUUUCGCAUGAAAGAAGUUUAAAAGGCGGCGUAAGCUGUCGCUAAAGGAUGGACCUGCGAUGCAUUAGCUAGUUGGUAAGGUAACGGCUUACCAAGGCGAUGAUGCAUAGCCGAGUUGAGAGACUGAUCGGCCACAUUGGGACUGAGACACGGCCCAAACUCCUACGGGAGGCAGCAGA